rnacentral:rRNA from 1 species
AGUGAACGCUGGCGGCAGGCCUAACACAUGCAAGUCGAGCGGCAGCGGGUCCUUCGGGAUGCCGGCGAGCGGCGGACGGGUGAGGAAUGCGUCGGAAUCUGCCUUUUUGUGGGGGAUAACGUAGGGAAACUUACGCUAAUACCGCAUACGACCUACGGGUGAAAGUGGGGGACCGCAAGGCCUCACGCAGAAAGAUGAGCCGACGCCGGAUUAGCUAGUUGGCGGGGUAAAGGCCCACCAAGGCGACGAUCCGUAGCUGGUCUGAGAGGAGGAUCAGCCACAGUGGAACUGGGACACGGUCCAGACUCCUACGGGAGGCAGCAGUGGGGAAUAUUGGACAAUGGGCGCAAGCCUGAUCCAGCCAUGCCGCGUGUGUGAAGAAGGCCUUCGGGUUGUAAAGCACUUUUGUCCGGAAAGAAAUCCAAUCGAUUAAUACUCGGUUGGGAUGACGGUACCGGAAGAAUAAGCACCGGCUAACUUCGUGCCAGCCGCCGCCGUAAUAC